rnacentral:rRNA from 1 species
AGCGAACGCUGGCGGCGUGCUUAACACAUGCAAGACGAACGAAGUAGCAAUACUUAGUGGCGGACGGGUGAGUAAUGCAUAGAUAAUCUACCUUAGGGACCGGGAUAACUUUGGGAAACUGGAGGUAAUACCGGAUAAGACCACAGUGUCUGCGGACACAGGGGUAAAAGAUGGCUUUCGGCUAUCACCUAAAGAUGGGUCUAUGUUCCACCAGGUAGUUGGUGAGGUAACGGCUCACCAAGCCUAAGACGGAUAGCCGGCCUUAGCGGGUGGUCGGCCACACGGGAACUGAGAUACGGUCCCGACUCCUACGGGAGGCAGCAGUGGGGAAUCUUGGGCAA